AGGUGGCAGGUGGGGAGGGCUGAGGGAGAAAAUCAGGAAGCGGUAGUUUUCUUUGUCGCUUUAUCUGAAUGAAGCUU
ensembl:miRNA